rnacentral:rRNA from 1 species
GAUGAACGCUGGCGGCAUGCCUAAUACAUGCAAGUCGAACGAACGGGCCCAAAGAUUAUGAAGUGCUUGCACGGAAUAAGAAUUGGAUUUUCCGUUAGUGGCGAACGGGUGAGUAACACGUGGGUAACCUACCUUUAAGUGAGGGAUAACAGUUGGAAACGACUGAUAAUACCUCAUAGGAGUAUAAGAUGAGAAUCUAAUACUUUAAAGACGCUUUGGCGUCGCUAAAAGAUGGGCCUGCGGUGCAUUAGCUAGUUGUAAGGUAAGAGCUUACCAAGGCGACGAUGUAUAGCCGGACUGAGAGGUUGAACGGGCCACACUGGAACUGAGACACGGUCCAGACACCUACGGGUGGCAGCAGUAGGGAAUUUUUCGCAAUGGGGGCAACCCUGACGGAGCAAUGCCGCGUGAAUGAUGAAGGUUUUCGGAUCGUAAAAUUCUGUUGUAAGGGAGAAUAGCUAUAUUAGGAAAUGAAUAUAGUAUGACGGUACCUGACGAGAAAGGGAC